AACGUAGGACGCAAGCGUUAUCCGGAGUUACUGGGCGUAAAGCGCGGGCAGGCGGCUCGAUGCGUCUGAUGUGAAAUCUCCUCGCUCAACGGGGAGAGGCCAUUGGAAACGGUCGAGCUGGAGGGCAGUAGAGGUAGGCGGAAUUCCGGGUGGAGUGGUGAAAUGCGCAGAUAUCAGGAGGAACACCGGUGGCGAAGGCGGGUCUCUGGGCCGAUACUGACGCUGAGGAGCGAAAGCGUGGGGAGCGAACAGG
rnacentral:rRNA from 1 species